AUGAGAAGAACCAGCAUUAUUAGAGGUAAAAGCUUUAAGUUGUUUGUAAUCUCCACCAUGAUGACACAGAGAGAUACAGUCAUACGCAUAGAGCCUCCAAGAAAAGAUGCAGCACCUAGAAGAGCAUACGUCCCCUCUUCAAUGUUCAGCUUCUUAUAAAAGCUAACCACGAACAUGCCAACAAGACGUCCAUAAGUUGAUCCUAUCAUGAUGCCUGGCACAAACUGACCUGCUGGAACUGCAGUUCCAAAGGUCACCACUGCCAAG
rnacentral:misc_RNA from 1 species